rnacentral:rRNA from 1 species
CUAAUGCCGGAUAUUGUGUCCUACUGCAUAGUAGGUUAACGAAAGAUUUAUCGUUGUGGGAUGAGCUUGCGUCCGAUUAGCUAGUUGGCGGGGUAAUAGCCCACCAAGGCGACGAUCGGCAGCCGGCCUGAGAGGGUGAUCGGCCACAUUGGGACUGAGAUACGGCCCAGACUCCUACGGGAGGCAGCAGUAGGGAAUAUUGCGCAAUGGGGGGAACCCUGACGCAGCAACGCCACGUGUGGGAAGAAGCAUUUCGGUGUGUAAACCACUGUCGGAAAGGAAUAACGGAAGACUUCGGUCUUUAUGAAUGUACUUUUAGAGGAAGCACCGGCAAACUUCGUGCCAGCAGCCGCGGUAAUACGAGGGGUGCAAGCGUUGUUCGGAAUCACUGGGCGUAAAGGGAGCGUAGGCGGAAGUGCAAGCAAUCUGUAUAAUCCUGGGGCCCAACCCCAGUUCUGCAGAUUGGACUGUAUUUCUUGAAAAGUUCAGAGGCAAGCGGAAUUUCUGGUGUAGCGGUGGGAUGCGUAGAGAUCAGAAAGAACACCAAUGGCGAGGGCAGCUUGCUGGGGACUUAUUGACGCUGAGGCUCGAAAGUGUGGGUAGCAAACAGGAUUAGAUACCCUGGUAGUCCACACUGUAAACGAUGCAUACUGGGUGUCCGAAGUUCGUUUCGGGUACCGUAGCUAACGCGUUAAGUAUGCCGCCUGGGGAGUACGUACGCAAGUAUGAAACUCAAAGGAAUUGACGGGGGCCCGCACAAGCGGUGGAGCAUGUGGUUUAAUUCGAAGCAACGCGCAGAACCUUACCAGGGUUUGACAUG